CUCAGUGCAGUAGCCAGUCCUGAAAAAAUUAUGGUCUGGUCACAGCGGCUACGAAAAAAUAAAAUGAAAUAAAACUGUUCCACUCGGCGGAAUUAGCAUUAAGUUAGAAAAUCGUGGAAAAUGAAACAACACUUUAAAAAAACAAUUGCAAAUCUAAAGAGUUCAAUGUUUAAUUUAUGCGUCCAUUUGCGUUUUAAUUGUGUCUUGACUCCCCAAUUUGCCAGGUCUCGCCCAACCUUGCUGCUGUAAAAUUAACUGCGCACUUUAGGCAAUUUCGUGAAGCGAGCCAUUGUACCGCGCUGCUUUUCCCUGGCUGAGAAAAGGACAUUACACAGCAGCGCAGCUUUCAGCCGAGCUCGGGUGUGGAACGGAGCCCUCUACCUUGGAGGUCAGCUUUGGUGAAACCGACUUUGUUUGCGAAAGAACAGAAAAAAGCGAAAACAAGAAAAGAGAGUCUCUUGAGUACAAGCCCUGAGUUUCAGACCAAAGCAGCAGUGCGACUAGUUUUGUAAGUGCAAAUUAAAACAACAUUGCCAUCUUGUGGCUGUUUAACCUUCCUACACCAGAUCAAUUUGAAGCUCAUGUUGAAUGUCUUGGCUCUUUGGCAUAGGUGGACUGCCUGAAAACUGCUGCAUCACAGGGUUCUCCACCAUUCUGCUACUGUAGGAACUGUUAAAGUCUGGCAGCCGGCCGUUGAGAUCCACAGACGCCAGGCAGCCCUGGAAGCCGUCCCGGGACACCACCAGCUUGGGCAGGGUGUUGU